CCAGGCUGUAAGAUCUGAUUGGAUUUCUUUUUGUAAGUUAGGGAAGUUGCUUUCGAAUAGGCGUGUUGUAUCCCUAGUGAUGUGUAUCCCUAGAUAUUUAAUGCUAUGGGGGGCCCACGUAAAUUGAUAUUCAUGUUUCAAUGUUGUUGCGAUGCGUGCCUGCACGUUUAUUGGGAGGAUUUGCCUUAAAGUUGGAUAUAUUACUGUAUGUAUUAAUUUCUUCCAUCAGGUGUGGGAGUGAGUCUAGCUGGUGUGUGAUUGAAAAAAGCAUAUCGUCCGCAAAUGCUG